ACUCCUACGGGAGGCAGCAGUGGGGAAUAUUGGACAAUGGGCGCAAGCCUGAUCCAGCCAUGCCGCGUGUGUGAAGAAGGCCUUUUGGUUGUAAAGCACUUUAGGCGAGGAGGAGACUACUUGGAUUAAUACUCUAGGAUAGUGGACGUUACUCGCAGAAUAAGCACCGGCUAACUCUGUGCCAGCAGCCGCGGUAAU
rnacentral:rRNA from 1 species